AGCGAACGCUGGCGGCAGGCUUAACACAUGCAAGUCGAGCGGGCACCUUUCGGGGUGUCAGCGGCGGACGGGUGAGUAACGCGUGGGAACGUGCCCUCUGGUUCGGAAUAACUCAGGGAAACUUGAGCUAAUACCGGAUACGCCCUUUUGGGGAAAGGCUUGCUGCCGGAGGAUCGGCCCGCGUCUGAUUAGCUAGUUGGUGAGGUAACGGCUCACCAAGGCGACGAUCAGUAGCUGGUCUGAGAGAAUGAUCAGCCACACUGGGGCUGAGACACGGCCCAGACUCCUACGGGAGGCAGCAGUGGGGAAUAUUGGACAAUGGGCGCAGGCCUGAUCGAGCCAGGCCGCGUGAGUGAUGAAGGCCUUAGGGUUGUAAAGCUCUUUUAUCCGGUACGAUAAUGACGGUACCGGAGGAAUAAGCCCCGGCUAACUUCGUG
rnacentral:rRNA from 1 species